CUGGCUUUUGCACGCACGCGUGCGCCGACGAAGCUGUGCAGCGUACGCUCACCGCCCGCCAGCGCGCAGAAAAAAAACGAAGAGCGAAGGGGAAGCGUUCCGCAGGCACUCACAAGGGCACCGAGCUACUGCGGCCACCGCACCUUCCCGCGCGAAGCGAGUCAUGAGCGAGCCGAGGCAGCCAGAGGCGGCCCCUGCAAUGCCAGUGGCGUCUGAGCACACCACCACCUGUGGUGUCGCGACGUCGUUGCUGGAGAAACCGGCGCUGGUGGCGAUACCCGCCCCGGAACCUACCGCUCGCCCGCCCAUCACGACAGAGAAGGGCGUCUGCCCAGUGAAGGCGGAGUACCUGCGUCCAGCCCCGGCGCGCAUCAGCCUCGAUGCGGAGGGCCGUACGCGCGGCAUGAACAAGGGCGCCGCGCGAGAGCACUCAGAGUUUGUGCAGGGCACGCAGCGCCCCGCGUGGGAGGGAGAACAAAAUUUCUUUCUUGGGCCGACGCUGCAGCGGAUCAAGAGGGCCGUUCGUGAAGCGAAGCAGCGGCAGCCCAAGCAGCAGCAGCAGGGGCGAGAGCAGCAACAGAGCCCCGACAGCAAGGAAGGCGCUGCCUCCGCUGACGCCAUCACGACGGAGACAUCCGAGAAGACAACAGCAGCGACAGCAGCCGAGGCGAGUGAGCCCCUCCCGGUAAUUGGGCAGAAGCGUGAGCGCAGUGCCUCGGCCGAGGAGGCACCCAUAACAGAAGCACCGACACCUGACGCGACCACGAAAUUGAGCAGCGAUGAGCCGACGGCUCGCCCCACACAGACGGAGGAGAGCCUUCGCGAGGUGAUUGCGCGCCAGUCAAGCUUGCGCGGUCUAUUCUCCGAGAAGCUGGUACUGGCGCCACUGACCACGGUCGGCAAUCUGCCCUUCCGUCGCAUCUGCAAGUCGUUCGGUGCGGACGUCACGCUGAGCGAGAUGGCUGUGGUCUUCAACCUGAAUCGGCUGCAGAAGAGCGAGUGGUCGCUGCUGCGCCGGCACGAGAGUGAGGACAUCUUUGGCAUCCAGCUGGCCGUCUCUCGCCCGCAGGAGGCGGCGACCUUUGCGCAGGCUCUGGAGGCGUCCGGCUUCUCAUACGACUUCCUCGACAUCAAUUGCGGCUGCCCGGUGGAGAAGAUUGUGAAGUCCGGCUGCGGCUGCGGGCUUUGGAAGCGCACAGGGCGGCUGCGCGAUGUCGUGGAGAGCCUGGCGAUUCACCAGAGCCGCCCUGUGGCAAUUAAGUGUCGCAUUGGCCUCGACGAGGACACACCGACGCUGCAUCAGCAAAUCCACCGGUACUCGACGUGGGGGGCCGCAGCGGUGACGGUACAUGGCCGCUCGCGCAAGCAGCGCUACACCAAGUUCGCCAACUGGGACUACGUGGACCAGUGCGCGCAGCUCACCUCGCUGCCUGUGAUUGGCAACGGCGACAUCAUGUCCCUGGAGGACGUACUCGAACACCGGGAGCGGCAGCCGCACAUUACCUCACACAUGAUCGGCCGCGGCGCCCUCAUCAAGCCGUGGCUGUUUGAAGAGAUCAAGAGCGGCCAGGUGAAGGACAUCAGCAGCUCCGAGCGGCUGGACAUGUUGAAGGAAUUCUGCGCAUGCGGAAUGGCCCACUGGGGGGCGGAUGAGCGCGGUGUCAUGACAACACGGCGCUUCCUGUGCGAAUGGCUGUCGUUUCUUCAUCGCUAUGUACCAGUUGGGCUGCUGGAGCGGCUGCCCCAGCGCAUCAACGAGCGUCCGCCGUUCUACGAAGGCCGCGAUGAGUUGGAGACGCUCAUGUCCAGUGAUAGCGUUAAGGACUGGAUGCGCAUAAGUGAGCUGCUGCUUGGGCCUGUCGAGAAGCAGUUCCGCUUCACUCCGAAGCACAAGAGCAACAGCUACACAAAUGCGACGGAAUUGGACGGCAGCAUUGAUGUAGAAGGCUAAAGUUAAUCGCGCGUGUCGCCCUCCCCGCCAUCAGUGUGCUGUUUGCCUGCUCACAAAACUGUGGCGUUGCGUGGCGCUAUGACCGUGGCAACCCCCUAAC
rnacentral:misc_RNA from 1 species